CAUUUUCAUACAUAAACUAGGCAUGAUUAAUUUUAUGCUUUACUAAAUCUCCACUUAGUUUUAGAUCGCUAUUUGUCCCGGUUAAGAAUCAUGAGAAAUAAAUCCGUACUAAAAAUAUUUUAUGACAGUUAUAGAGGCCCAAUUUAGCCCGGGCCCGAAACAAAACUAAAAAUAAUAAAAAAUAUAUCAGUCCAUGUACAACGGGCCAAAAUAGCCCGAUUUUUAAAACCCUAAAUGGCCCAUUGGGGCCCAAAAACUAAACAGCACAGGGAACCCUAGGGUUCCCUGCCCUUGCCUCGUGCCACUGCUACCCAUGUGCGCCUUCAACGCGCACCACGCCUGAGGUCUGCCACCGCUAGCUGCGCCUUGCACCAAAAUGGAAGCUUUCCGUCUCCGUUGACUUCACCAGGACCUGCAAACGAAACAAAUAGACGAAAACAAUAGCCAAUAAAUAGAAACGAAGACAGUAAAAACAAAGAGGAGGAAAAGGUUGGAUUUUCGGCUUUAUAAGCCUGAAAAUAACUAUGUAAUGGGGGCUUGAUCACUGCAAUUUUGGGAGGGAGAUAAAACGAUUGAAAAAAUUAUUGCUGAAUCAAUAAAAAAUCAAAAAUCUUUGAAGAGAAUGUUUUUCUUUUUUUUUCAUUCCGUUUCUUUGAUUUGUUUUUAUCUGUUUCCUUUUUAUUUAAUCAUGUAUAUAUAUAAGAUUGUAUAUAUGAAAUAAAAAGAGGGAAAAGACGGGAAGAAACCUUACCUGCGCCGUCGACGGAUCUAAAUCGAAAAAGGCGUCAGGGGGUUUCCUUUUCGGCUUUGGGGGUUGAUGACCCGAAUCUUCAGGGCCUUCUUGCGCCGCGUCGGCCUUUGGCCUUGGUGGCCAUACGGCAGAGCGCCGUUGAGACAAGCGCCGGAGUUAGGAGAACCAAAGAGGGAUGGGGAAGCUCCCUCUCUUUCUUUUUUUUUUUAUUCUUGCGGCUGUAAAUGAGAU
rnacentral:lncRNA from 1 species